ACAAUGCCACCUUCAUUUGCAGCCAAGACACGGUGUGCAAACCCCUCCAAAAUGCACUCAAUACCCUAGAAAGAAGGGAUAUAAUGGCUACAAAGCUUAUAAAACCUAGAAGGCCUAAAAACUAGGUGCAUGAUGGACAAGAAGAAAGAAUGAGGAAAUAAUAGAGGAGCCUUCUCCCGGAAGCCAUCGAAGAGGUGCUCUCUUGCCUAUAAAAGGAGGAGUCUUGCUGCGAAGAGAGACACCUGACGGAGAAGAACCAGCCACAGACAGAGCAGAGAGCUGCAACUCAGCUAGCAAGCCCGUUGCUCAGCAGUAGUAGUAGUAGUAGUAUUAGUAGUAGUAGUACUUCUUCAUCGUGUAAUAAGAGCUACAAUAUUGAGAGCAUUUGUAAGCUCGCGAAGGUAGUUAGAAGGAUCUUUGAAGGGCUAUCGAGGCCAACAAGACGACUGAGGUGUACGCAGUGGUGUAAUAUCCUACUCAGUACUCAUCAUAUUUAUCAUUAUGUUGUUUUAGAUGUAGCUAAGUUCGUUCACUUGAUGUUUUUAGUUGCAAAUUUAUGGAGUAAAUUCCUAUCGUCUUCCCAGGAAGUUCCACCCGAAGGGAACACUUCUGUACGGCCAUAAGAUUCUCUUUCAAAUGCCAUAAUAGGCUACACACAGAACUACCGGCAGAGUUUUUUCCUAUAGGAUCCCUAGCAUAAGAGCUCGUUCCAUAAAUCCAUAAAUAAAAA